UCGUAACAAGGUUUCCGUAGGUGAACCUGCGGAAGGAUCAUUACCGAGUGUUUGGGCGCCCCCUCGCGGGGUGCCCGUCCUCCCAUCCGUGUCUAUUUGUACCCUGUUGCUUCGGCGGGCCCGCCCAUCGUGGCCGCCGGGGGGCUUCACUGCCCCCGGGCCCGUGCCCGCCGGAGACCUCAACCAUGAACACUGUCUGAAGGUUGCAGUCUGAGUGAAUGAUAUAAAAAUCGUUAAAACUUUCAACAACGGAUCUCUUGGUUCCGGCAUCGAUGAAGAACGCAGCGAAAUGCGAUACGUAAUGUGAAUUGCAGAAUUCAGUGAAUCAUCGAGUCUUUGAACGCACAUUGCGCCCCCUGGUAUUCCGGGGGGCAUGCCUGUCCGAGCGUCAUUGCUGCCCUCAAGCACGGCUUGUGUGUUGGGCCCCCGUCCCCUCCCUAGGGGGGGACGGGCCCGAAAGGCAGCGGCGGCACCGUGUCCGGUCCUCGAGCGUAUGGGAAGCACAAUCUUUUUUUGCCAACCCGCUCCUGUAGGUCCGGCCGGCGGCCUGCCCCAAUCAACCCAUUGUUUUUAACCAGGUUGACCUCGGAUCAGGUAGGGAUACCCGCUGAACUUAAGCAUAUCAAUAA
rnacentral:misc_RNA from 1 species